ACUUAAAAGAUAAUCCGAGGACAUUUCCCUGCCUGCACAACUAUCCUCUGAGUGAAGCAGCCCUGCUGUUGUGGCUUGAAGCUGUGCCUUGCUUGGGAAGGCUCCCAGAGCCAAAGCUAAACCCUGCUGCAAAGCUAACGCGUCCCACUCGGGCAAGUAUUUUUAACAGACACAAACAUUAUUCCCAACUGCAGCCAUUUGCUUCCCCUUGUGUGUGCUUCCACAGAGGCAAAACACACUCAAAUCCCUCUGCAAACCUAACACCAGCCAGCGAUGGGGAGCCACAUGUUUUGAUCUAACACUGGCCCUUUUUCUCUUAGUCUUUCUGCUUUCCAAAUCCCCUGGCCCCCUCCUCGCCACCCCAAAAGAACCAGGGGCAGUCGACCCAGACUAGUUUAACUCCAACGGACACAGCAGGCAGCCAGCGGCCUGGAUUAGUCACUCGUUACUAAGGCGAUAUGCAGAUGCACCCUUUGAAGUCGCUGCUCUCGGAAGCAGCGCGGGAGCGGAAGGUGCGCGGCCGAAGUUUGCGGCUUCCCCGCGGGGGCUCUCCCGGGGGCAGGGGGAGGGGGCGAGAGAGAGACCCAGAAACGGCUGCUCAGUGGUUAAAAAGUUUCCCUGCUGCCAGGUUAGGGGGGGGCUGACAGGAAAGCGAGGAGGGACGGACAAGGUGAAGACUUCUGCCCCAGGAGAGUGUUAAGGGGUAAAACACGGAAUAAUAAUAAAAUAAAAAUUAAAAAAAAUUUUAAAAGGGGGGUGGGGAGCCUUGUCGCGUAGCUUGGGGGAAGACGGACGGAGCUGGCACUUGGCGUUUCCUAACGUGCUGACCCCGAGCCCCCCAGCCCCGUUCCACAGGAGCGGAGAGCCGCGCAAGGAGCGCGGUAACAGGGAGAGCUGCGGGGCCGGUGCGGGGGCGGGCGGGUCCUGGAUCGGCUCGACUCCCAGCGGGCUCCGUCCCGUACUAUUCCCGGCACUUCAGGGGAAGAAGAGGAGCGCAAAGACCCGCCUGGAAGAGCGGACAAACCGCAAGAAAUUGCUGCCAGCCUAGAGGGGCACACAGCCAUCCCGCAGGACAGGGGGCGGGGAGGGGGGGCACCCAAAACCCAGCCCAACCGCACGCGAACGACACCGGCGCUUACAUCCUCUUCCUCGCAGUCACUUCGCGACUGGUACUGGAAGCGGGGCCGGCUGCCUUCCUGUUGCAAUGGACGCGGGGUCUUGCCGGCAGCGCCGUCCUCCUCGCUGCUCUGGCCUCCCAGGAGGUGACUCGCUUCGGGGGGAACCGGGAACGAGCGGGAGGUGUUGAUCUUCCCGCUGAACCGCUGCAUGCUACACGCGGGUGAGGAUCAGUCCCACAUCAGUGGAAGGGAGAGCGAGGGAUCCUGCUACGCGGUCCUCUGCACCGGCACCCGGAGAGAAACGGGGGGGAUCAAGAGAGCAGAGACGGGGGAGUGAUGAGAGGAAGAAGAAAGAUAAAUAAAUAAUAAAACGCAAUCGAGCCGUAACACCACAGGCCCCGGGAAUGCUGCACCAUCCGGUGCUGGGAAGAAAAAAAAAAAAACAGAAGAGAAAAAAAAGGAACCAAAACACUCC
rnacentral:lncRNA from 13 species